UUUCCGUAGGUGAACCUGCGGAAGGAUCAUUGUCGAAGCCCUGUAGAAUGUUGAUGGACAUGCGAACUUGUAGGAACGUAUGCGGGGGGGUGCAUGGGGGCGUGGCCCCGCCACUGACGUGUGGUCGAUGAGGAUGUGUUCGGGAGCCCAUGUAUACCGCGAUCUAACACUUUAAUCGGCAGAGAACGUGCCAAGGAAGCUCCAUAAUAAAAUCCCACCCCACCUCGCAUGUCGUGCAUGUGGGGUUCGGGGAGGUGGUUUGCGCAACCGUGACAUAACGACUCUCGACAAUGGAUAUCUCGGCUCCCGCAUCUAUGAAGAACGCAGCGAAAUGCGAUACAUGGUGUGAAUUGCAGAUUCUCGUGAAUCAUUGAGUUUUUGAACGCAAGUUGCGCCCGAAGCCAUUUUUUGGUCGAGGGCACGCCUGCCUGGGUGCCAUGCAAGGGGUCGUCCCAGGUCCUCCUCCGGCGGGAGACUCGUUGAUGCUGUUGGUUUCCGGGAGAGAAGGGACCUUUGGGGUGGACGUUGGUCUUCCGUUCUAUGUUGUGCGGUUGGUUUAAAAUCGGGGUCCCAGGCGACAUGCGUCGCGAUGAGUUAGGGAAGACAAUGUUUGUCCCUUGUCGGUUGGUGAGCCACCUGCGGUCCCGUGGCCUCGUUGACACCUUGACGGAGAAGCCAUCCAGGCCCC
rnacentral:misc_RNA from 1 species